rnacentral:lncRNA from 1 species
UUUGAUGUUAGAAAAGCAAGUCUCCAGUGAAACUCUGGUCCUAUCAUACUCAGUGGAACCAACACUGAAGAUCUCAGUUUGAAGCACUGGAGCAGGUUGUUCUGAAAGGUCACCAGGAAGCUGAAGAAAUUCUCAGUUAUAGUAAAUGCCUUGAGUAGACAAAUGUAUGCAUACUUUAUUUGUCCACCAAAUUUUGUGAAAACAAUUAUGUAACCUAUGAAAGACAGAGAAAGGUAUAUACUAU